rfam:Triticum aestivum genome assembly, contig: Triticum_aestivum_CS42_TGACv1_scaffold_194018_3AL
AAGGUACUCCCUCCGUCCGGAAAUACUUGUCAUCAAAAUAAAUAAAAGGGGAUGUAUCUAGACGUAUUUUAGUUCUAGAUACAUCCUUUUUUAUUCAUUUUGAUGAGAAGUAUUUUCGAACAGAUGGAAUAGUAA